AUUGAACGCUAGCGGCAGGCUUUACACAUGCAAGUCGAACGAGUGGCGGACGGGUGAGUAAUAUAUCGGAACGUGCCCAGUGGCGGGGGAUAACUACUCGAAAGAGUGGCUAAUACCGCAUACUAUUGGAUGUGCCCAUAUGGGAUUAGCUAGUUGGUGGGGGAAAGGCUCACCAAGGCAACGAUCCGUAGCUGGUUUGAGAGGACGACCAGCCACACUGGGACUGAGACACGGCCCAGACUCCUACGGGAGGCAGCAGUGGGGAAUUUUGCACAAUGGGGGCAACCCUGAUCCAGCCAUCCCGCGUGUAUGAGAAGGCCUUCGGGUUGUAAAGUACUUUCGGCAGAGAAGCGGUAUCUGCAAAAGAAGCACCGGCUAACUCCGUGCCAGCAGCCGCGGUAAUUC
rnacentral:rRNA from 1 species